rnacentral:tRNA from 1 species
UUUAUGUAGCUUAAUUAAAG